UAUCGGAUAGUGCAAUUGGUAAGCAUUUCAGAAUUUGACUCUGAAGGUGUUGGUUCAAGUCCAGCUCCGAUAA
rnacentral:tRNA from 1 species